rnacentral:rRNA from 1 species
UCUGGCUCAGGAUGAACGCUAGCGGCAGGCUUAACACAUGCAAGUCGAGGGGCAGCGCGGGGCGGCAACGUCCUGGCGGCGACCGGCGGAAGGGUGCGUAACGCGUGAGCGACAUGCCCGUUGCCCGGGGACAACCGGUGGAAACGCCGACUAAUCCCCGAUGGGACGGAGGCCCUCAUGGGUCUCUGUUGAAAGUUACGGCGGCGACGGAUUGGCUCGCGUCCGAUUAGCUUGUUGGCGGGGUAACGGCCCACCAAGGCUACGAUCGGUAGGGGUUCUGAGAGGAAGGUCCCCCACAAUGGAACUGAGACACGGUCCAUACUCCUACGGGAGGCAGCAGUGAGGAAUAUUGGUCAAUGGGCGGAAGCCUGAACCAGCCAUGCCGCGUGCGGGAAGGAGGCCCUAUGGGCUGUGAACCGCUUUUGCCUGGGGGCAAUAAGGGCGUCGCGCACGUCCGAUGAGAGUACCAGGGGAAUAAGCAUCGGCUAACUCCGUGCCAGCAGCCGCGGUAAUACGGGGGAUGCGAGCGUUAUCCGGAUUCAUUGGGUUUAAAGGGUGCGUAGGCUGUGCGUCAAGUCAGGGGUGAAAUUCCGGGGCUCAACUCCGGGGCUGCCCUUGAUACUGUCGCGCUGGAGUGCGGAUGCCGCCGGAGGAAUGAGUGGUGUAGCGGUGAAAUGCUUAGAUAUCACUCAGAACACCGAUUGCGAAGGCAUCUGGCGAAUCCGUAACUGACGCUGAGGCACGAAAGCGUGGGGAUAGAACAGGAUUAGAUACCCUGGUAUUCCACGCCGUAAACGAUGAUGGCUAACCGCCGGCGACAUACUGUCGGUGGCCAAGCGAAAGCGAUAAGCCAUCCACCUGGGGAGUACGUCGGCAACGAUGCAACUCAAAUGAAUUGACGG